CUAUGACUCAAAGAAGGAUCAAAACCCAGCAGAGUGCAAGCAGCAGUGAAGCAGGAUGUAUGUGGCCUUGAGGAUAACCUGCACUGGUCUACCUUCUGCUUCCCUGGAAAGGAUGAAUUUACAUCAUUUGACAAGCCUAUUUCAAGUUUUUUUGUUGUUACUGUUUGCUUGUUUUUGUUUUUGCAGCCUAAAAUAAAAUGUCAUAUAAUUUUAGUUCUCACAAGAUAAUGUCUUAAUUUUGUACUAAUUCAGGUAGAAGCAGAGGCCUAGCUUGAAUUAAUCAUUGUACCCAGUUUACCAUAUUAUGGAAGAAGAGAGUGUCAACUUUGGGAGAGGUACUACAUCUGCUAAUAUAAGAAGAUAGAAAAGAAAAAAUCUUAAAUGAUGUAUUUUUUUCUUAAAAAAAGAUUAAACGGUUAAAAUUUUAUUUCCUUUGGUUAGAACUAGAGAGAAGGCCCCACGCUCUAUAGUUAAUUCCAGUUCUUAUUGCUUAAAGUAUGUCAUUUUCCCAUGCUUCUGUUUACUGUAUAUUACAAUGGGUAGUACUGUUUACCUAACUACCUCACAGAUAUGUUAAGGCAUGUUAAGUUAAAUUUUAUGAAAUGUUUCUCGAUCUCAUUAAAAGCUCCAAAAUUUGAACCUGUUUGUACCACAAGUAUAAUAUUCAGCAUUUUAUUCAUACCAGGGUUUGAUAGUUCAACUGGAAAACAAAGGUUUAAGUACCUCUGUUCUGGAUCUGGUCAGGCAACACUCUUGCAGAUCUUUGUGUGGCUCCUGUCUAGUAAGUGGAUGGAUGAGCAGCUCUUUCACAAGGUCCAAGGAUUGCUUUUAGGUAUUUUAGUUUAUGACCAUAUUGUAGUAAAAUACUGCAGAGAUCAUGGGACUGAAGUAGAAAGAAGACCGUAUUUAGGGGGGAAAUGCCAUUAAAUUUGAGACUCAUAGAGCCACAUUUAAAAUACCUCAGGCUAAUUACUGUUAAUUUUUUUGUGAUGAGCUUAAAAGCUUUGACAGUGAGGGUGGAUUAAAUGGAUUCUAACUAGAGGCUGGCCUAGAGUUCCUGCUCUUCAUAAAACUGUAUUGUUUCUAGAGGUGAUAGAGCUUCCUUUUUGAAAAUCUAGUAUUAAGAUCUUGGAAUGUGAACACAUUUUGUUAUUUGUAUACUACUUUUCAUUCCUCUCCUGAGAUUUUAAUUAACUACUGGAAAUCCUUAACCAGUUGCAAUGGUUUGUAGGAAAAAAAUGCCAUGAAAACACCCUGUUUUUCCUCCUUAUUUUCAGAAUGCUUUUGGUUGCUUUAAUUAGACAUUCUUUGCUGAUUUUUUUUUUUUUU